CUGAAAUGGGAUGAGAUCUGCUCUGCAGAGGGACAACCCAAGGCAGUGCAGUCCCUCCAGUGCUGACUAGCUACCACGUUAGGUAAGCUGGCACAUAAAAGACAAAAUCAGCUUAGUAAAUCAUUAACCAGGACCCUCUAGGAGUGUGUAGCUGCAUGUUGCGUGACCCCAUGGGGGUGGCUGGGAGUUCCCUCUGAAUUUAAGCGUGGUUUGCACUAGGUCCUGUGCAGGCAGCAGGUUCCCAUCUGUGAAACCAGGGGUGGUCAGGCAGACCUGUUGGAAGCUGAACUCCUAACUGGUGUAGAGGCUGAACACAGUGGAAAACCUGAAAGCCACAACCAAUGUGUAGGUUUUUCUUUCUAAAUCAAGAGAAGUUUAGAAACACAGGUGAAGCUUGCUUUUUCCAUACCCCGCCCCCCCAAAUCCUGCCAGGUGGGAAGUGCAGCUAUUAGCAUCUGAUCUGCUGCACCUGGUGGUACUGCUCCACUCAGCUCCUCCGCGCCAGGGCAGGCGUGGGCUGAUGCUCUCAGGCGCAUUCAUGCCUGCUUGGAAAACCAGGAUAGCUUGGAGACGCUGGGAGAAGGUCUGUGGCAGGAGGGCUGGUGGAGCUGGAGGAAUCUGGCUGGUGGCUUCUCGAGUCUGUUCUGCAGACUCCAGUGAGCUGCUCCUGUGCUGUUGCUUAUUGGACUUGCCUGUGAUGUGGCUUAGGAUGACCUUGAGUGGUGCUAAGGACCCGUGCCUCGGUUCCCUCUCCUGUGCUUUCAGGGCGAGUUAGAUGGAUCUGACAUUCACAGCUUGUUAAUCACCAGCACCCCAGGUAAAAAUAACUGGAUGCUUUAAGUGCCGUAAGAUUUUCUACUGACGCUUAAUAACACCCUGGAUGUUUCUCUUAGCUCCUGUACCAUUGUAGUAAUUUGAUCAUCGCAGCAUAAACCUGUUUUCGGCUGCACGGAGCAGGCAAUGGGCUGGAUGGCUGGAGCUCUAAAAAUGGUCCUGCAAGUUUGUGUUAGGCUUGGCAGUUUUGUUCAGGCCUGUUUUAUUCAGCUUAUUGUGAGA
rnacentral:lncRNA from 1 species